CCCUGGCUGGUUCGGUUGGUAGAGCACGUGACUCCUGAUCGUAGGGUCAUGAGUUCAAGCCUCAUGUUGGGCA
rnacentral:tRNA from 1 species